UACGUAGGGGGCAAGCGUUGUCCGGAAUCAUUGGGCGUAAAGAGCGUGUAGGCGGCCCGAUAAGUCCGCUGUGAAAGUCCAGGGCUCAACCCUGGGAUGCCGGUGGAUACUGUCGGGCUCGAGUCCGGAAGAGGAGUGUGGAAUUCCUGGUGUAGCGGUGAAAUGCGCAGAUAUCAGGAGGAACACCAAUGGCGAAGGCAGCACUCUGGGACGUGACUGACGCUGAGACGCGAAAGCGUGGGGAGCAAACAGG
rnacentral:rRNA from 2 species